rnacentral:lncRNA from 1 species
GUGAUGUUGUAACUGUUGUAAUAUUGUAGCACGGUUUGUUUUUAAAAUAAAUUUAGCCUAAGUGUAGGGUGUUCAUAAAGUCUACAGUACUGUACAGUAACGUCCUAGGCCUUUACUUUCACUCACCACUGACUCACCCAGAGCAACUUCCAGUCCUGCAAACUGCAGUCACAUUAAGUGCCUUAUACAGGUGUACCAUUUUUUUUAUCUUUUAAAGAAAUUUUGUAUAAAUUUAUGGGGUACAAGUACAAUUUUGUUACAUCUAUAGGUUGCAUAGUGGUGAAGUCAGAGCUUUUAGUGUAUCCAUCACCCAAGUAACAUAUGUUGUACCUACGUUAUGUUUAGAUACACAAAUACAUAACCGUUGUGUUAGAAUUGCCUACAGUGUUCAGUACAGUAACGGGCUGUACAGGUUUGUAGCCUAGGAACAAUAGGCUAUACCAUGUAGCUAUACCAUCCAGGUUUGCAUACAUAGACUCUAU